GCUGGCGGCGUGGAUAAGACAUGCAAGUCGGACGGGAUUACUUUUGGUAGCAAUACUAAGAGUGAUUCAGUGGCGAACGGGUGCGUAACACGUGGGCAAUCUGCCUUAAAGUGGGGGAUAGCUCGCCGAAAGGCGAAUUAAUACCGCAUGUGAUCAGGGGAGACAUCUUCCCGAAAUCAAAGGUGGCGCAAGCUACCGCUUUUUGAGGAGCCCGCGGCCUAUCAGCUUGUUGGUGAGGUAACGGCUCACCAAGGCGUUGACGGGUAGCUGGUCUGAGAGGACGACCAGUCACACUGGGACUGAGACACGGCCCAGACACCUACGGGUGGCAGCAGUCGAGAAUUUUUCUCAAUGGGGGAAACCCUGAAGGAGCGACGCCGCGUGGAGGAUGAAGGUCUUCGGGUUGUAAACUCCUGUCAUUUGGGAACAAGGUGCGCGCGUUAACUGCGCGCGCAUUGAUAGUACCAGAAGAGGAAGAGACGGCUAACUCUGUGCCA
rnacentral:rRNA from 1 species